GAUGAACGCUGGCGGCGUGCCUAAUACAUGCAAGUCGAGCGAACAGACGAGGAGCUUGCUCCUCUGACGUUAGCGGCGGACGGGUGAGUAACACGUGGAUAACCUACCUAUAAGACUGGGAUAACUUCGGGAAACCGGAGCUAAUACCGGAUAAUAUAUUUAACCUCAUGGUUCAAUAGUGAAAGACGGUUUUGCUGUCACUUAUAGAUGGAUCCGCGCCGCAUUAGCUAGUUGGUAAGGUAACGGCUUACAAAGGCGACGAUGCGUAGCCGACCUGAGAGGGUGAUCGGCCACACUGGAACUGAGACACGGUCCAGACUCCUACGGGAGGCAGCAGUAGGGAAUCUUCCGCAAUGGGCGAAAGCCUGACGGAGCAACGCCGCGUGAGUGAUGAAGGUCUUCGGAUCGUAAAACUCUGUUAUUAGGGAAGAACAAAUGUGUAAGUAACUAUGCACGUCUUGACGGUACCUAAUCAGAAAGCCACGGCUAACUACGUG
rnacentral:rRNA from 1 species